rnacentral:rRNA from 1 species
UUUAAAGUCUGACCUGCCCAAUGAGGAGUUAAAUGGCCGCGGUAAUUUGACCGUGCAAAGGUAGCAUAAUCAUUAGUUUUUUAAUUGAAAGCUGGUAUGAAUGGUUGGACGAGGGGAUAACUGUCUCAAUUUAAUUGUAAUAGAAUUUUAAUUUUAAGUUAAAAUGCUUAAAUAAGUUUAAAAGACGAGAAGACCCUAUAGAGUUUAAUAUAAGGUUAUGUAUUUAAGUAUAGGAAUAUAGAUAGUUAUAUAUAAUUUUGUAUUUUGUUGGGGCGACAGAAAAAUUGAAGGAACUUUUUUUUUAUUAAGUCAUUAAUGUAUGAAUGAAUGAUCCGUUAUUUACGAUUAUAAGAUUAAAUUACCUUAGGGAUAACAGCGUUAUUUUUUUUGAGAGUUCAAAUCGAAAAAAGAGUUUGCGACCUCGAUGUUGGAUUAAAAUUUAUUUUUGGUGUAGGGGCUAAAAUAUUAGGUCUGUUCGACCUUUGAAAUUUUACAUGAUCUGAGUUUAAACCGGCGUGAGCCAGGUUGGUUUCUAUCUUUAAAAAGAUUAAGUACUUUAGUACGAAAGGAUCAAGUAUUUAUAAAAUUUAUUAUUAGGGAAUACCAUUAUU